rnacentral:rRNA from 1 species
CUAUCCUACGGGGGGCAGCAGUGGGGAAUAUUGCACAAUGGGCGAAAGCCUGAUGCAGCAACGCCGCGUGAAGGAAGACGGUUUUCGGAUUGUAAACUUCUAUCAAUAGGGAAGAAAGAAAUGACGGUACCUAAAUAAGAAGCCCCGGCUAACUACGUGCCAGCAGCCGCGGUAAUACGUAGGGGGCAAGCGUUAUCCGGAAUUACUGGGUGUAAAGGGCGUGUAGGCGGGCCUGCAAGUCAGAAGUGAAAUCUGGGGGCUUAACCCCCCAACUGCUUUUGAAACUGUGGGUCUUGAGUGAUGGG